rnacentral:rRNA from 1 species
UUAGGAAUCUUGGACAAUGGGCGCAAGCCUGAUCCAGCCAUGCCGCGUGAGUGAUGAAGGCCUUAGGGUUGUAAAGCUCUUUCAGCGGGGAAGAUAAUGACGGUACCCGCAGAAGAAGCCCCGGCUAACUUCGUGCCAGCAGCCGCGGUAAUACGAAGGGGGCUAGCGUUGCUCGGAAUCACUGGGCGUAAAGCGCACGUAGGCGGCUUUCUAAGUCAGGGGUGAAAUCCUGGAGCUCAACUCCAGAACUGCCUUUGAUACUGGGAAGCUCGAGUCCGGAAGAGGUGAGUGGAACUCCGAGUGUAGAGGUGAAAUUCGUAGAUAUUCGGAAGAACACCAGUGGCGAAGGCGGCUCACUGGUCCGGUACUGACGCUGAGGUGCGAAAGCGUGGGGAGCAAACAGGAUUAGAUACCCCCGUAGUCC